GCACGUGCCCUGAUCUGGAAUCCAACUCCAACCUCCUGAUUCUUAGGUCGAUGCUCAACCACUGAGCCACACCAGCAAGGCUCUUUCUCUCUUUUGAAAUUCCAUGGAAAUCAUGGAGAAUGGCUCCAAGCAUCUGCUAUGUACUGCAAGCUCCUUAUGAAUCUGAGUCCUACUCAUCUUUGAAUUUCUGGAACCUGGAACAUAGUCUCUAAUCCCUGGGUGUCUCUGAAGGAACACCAUAGGAGAAGACCAGAGAACAAGACUUUACUUCAAGAAAAAAUGCUUGUGUAGUUGGCGGGGGCCUACCAGUUUAACAGCAUUUGUCCUAGGAAAGCCCUUUCCAAACCAACAAGGACAUUUGUCUUGGCUGUGUGGAAACAGACUUUUUUGAUCCAAAUUUAAAGAAUGAAGCUGAUUAUUGUCUAUGAAUAGGAAUAACCAAAGGAAAUAUUUGACGUUUACUAAAUGAUUUUUAAACCCGUGGUUGCUUUUUGACCAUGGGCCAAAAAUUUUUUGUAAUGUGAUAACUGCAUUAUUUAUCUAGUAAAAUAAUUUUGCUAAAGCCUUCAUCUCCAAAAGUUAGAUGAUUAUAUUCUGCUCUUGGAAUUCCUCCUUUCAACGUAACAUGCACAUUUAGAGAGGAAGA